AUAGCAUAUAUUAAAGUUGUUGCAGUUAAAAAGCUCGUAGUUGGAUUUCUGGGAGGGCGCCAAUGUCCGCUCGUUGCGUGUGCAGCGGCGCCCUUCCAUCCUUCUGUUAACGAUUCUUGGUAUUAACUUACUGGUUUCGGGCUCAGAUAUUUUACCUUGAGAAAAUUAGAGUGUUCAAAGCAGGCUUAUGCUCGAAUACAUUAGCAUGGAAUAAUAAAAUAGGACGUGCGGUUCUAUUUUGUUGGUUUCUAGAGUCGCCGUAAUGAUUAAUAGGGAUAGUUGGGGGCAUUAGUAUUCAGUUGCUAGAGGUGAAAUUCUUGGAUUUACUGAAGACUAACUAUUG
rnacentral:rRNA from 1 species